UAGGGAAUCUUCCGCAAUGGGCGAAAGCCUGACGGAGCAACGCCGCGUGAGUGAUGAAGGUCUUCGGAUCGUAAAACUCUGUUAUUAGGGAAGAACAAAUGUGUAAGUAACUAUGCACGUCUUGACGGUACCUAAUCAGAAAGCCACGGCUAACUACGUGCCAGCAGCCGCGGUAAUACGUAGGUGGCAAGCGUUAUCCGGAAUUAUUGGGCGUAAAGCGCGCGUAGGCGGUUUUUUAAGUCUGAUGUGAAAGCCCACGGCUCAACCGUGGAGGGUCAUUGGAAACUGGGAAACUUGAGUGCAGAAGAGGAAAGUGGAAUUCCAGGUGUAGCGGUGAAAUGCGCAGAGAUAUGGAGGAACACCAGUGGCGAAGGCGACUUUCUGGUCUGUAACUGACGCUGAUGUGCGAAAGCGUGGGGAUCAAACAGG
rnacentral:rRNA from 1 species